ensembl:lncRNA
GUGGGAUUCCCGUGUGAAAGGGCAGCGUGGCUCUGGGCCGGGGGGCCGCUGCGGUACGGCGGCUGCUAAAACUCUCCCUGCCCCGUAAGUGCUGCUGAAAAUCCCGCUGGGAGCGUGCUGGCUGCGGGGAGGGCCAAAGCUUUUCAAGCGCUUUCACCUCGAGGUCACCGGUUCAGACUCAGCCUGGGGGCAGGGAGCACGGUAAGUGGAUGUUAUUCCUGAUGGAUGUGCGAGGGGAGGAGGAUUUAGGAGAAAUUGGUCUGGGGCGUUUUCAGGCUGGAGACUUCAGAGGAACAGACGUCCCUGUUGUUAGAGCUAAUUAGCAGCUUCGGUUCGGUGGGCAAAGGGUCGAACAAACCACGAGGCUGCUGGCUGAGCAUCCCCGGCUGCCGGCGGGCUGCGAGCUGCUCCCGGCCGGGCUGCUGGCACUUCCUUGCUCCCCGCGGGAGGCUGACCUGCUUCAAAGCACACAGACAGAGCUUUCAGGCUCUCCAAAUCCCCAGCACCUCCCAGCAGAUGCUGGAUCUCGUGCUCUGCUCCCGCAGCACGCCGGCUUUGCACUCAAGGCAUUUCUCCGGGGGCCCCCUCAGACGGUUCCCCGCCUUGGGUUUGUUUCUGAUCUCCCCGUUCCUUGGGGCACCUUCCCAGAGUUGGGUUCAAACCUAAAAAGAAAAAAGGGUUAAAAAAAGGUUAGAAAUCCCCUUCUGACUCUCCUUGUAGCUGCAGGUUGGAGGAAGCGGCCUCGCUGUGUCCAGACAGGCAGCUCUGCCUCAGAAGCUCCCACCGCAGAGCUGCCAGCCCGCCCUGCCCUGGCAGCAGAGGUUGGAGGCACGCGGGCAGCGAGCGACACGGGGUCCCCAAAGUGCUGCAGAUCCGCGAUGAUUGAAGACCUUCUCCUGGCAGACAAACCAACCGCUCCCGAGGAUGUGCACUUGGCGGGACCCCGCUGUCUCACGUCGCCCCCCCCCCGCCACCUGCCUGUCGCUGGAGAGGUGACAAAAUGGCAUCUUUCCUCCCCGGCGAGCACAGCUUUGCUUGAAACAAUGGCACAAGCCUGCAAGCCAGGAAUGCUUUGCAGCGCGGUGGAGCAGGGCCUCCUUCCCAAUUCAUCACUAAUGCAGGAACGCCAAGCCCUUCCUGGCUGCAGCGAGCACGAGAUAAAAGCUAAAAGAGGCAUCAAUAAUUAAAAACCACUCAGAGCCGGUAAGUGCAAACAGGAGCCAACAUACAGAUCGAAGGCAGCGCCAGCGACGGGGGCUGUCAGCUGCUGGGCUGCUCACAGGGAUCCCACACCCCUCUGCGUCCCCCCCCCAGCCCUCAGCCACGUGGUGACAAGGUGCCCAUGGGUCAGGAGAACAAAACGGGUGUGAGUCCGUGCAGGGAAAACCCAAAUCUUCGCUUGGGUGAUCCCAAUUCUGCUCCCACACUGCAUGGCCACAACCCUCCCCCUCUCCCCCCCGGGCUGCUCUGCCCACCGUCCCUGCUGUGGGGGGGAACUCAACGCCCACAUCCCCUGCAGCUCCCCCAGCCCUGCCCCGUGUUACCUUCCCCACAUCCUCUUCCCCAUAUCUGCAGCCCCAUGUUCCCUGCCCUGACGUCCCCUUCCCCACAUCCCCUGCCCUAUGUCUCCAGUCCCACAUCACCUGCAGCGUCCUCUUCCCCAUGUCCUCUUCUUCCUGUCCCCUUCCUUAUGUCUGCUGCCCUGUGUCCCACAUCCCCUUCCCCAUGUCCCCUGCAGUGUCCUCUUCCCCACAUCCUCUUCCCUGCCCACGUUCACUUCCCCAUAUCCCCUUCCCUAUGUCUGCUGCUGUCUCCAGUCCCGUGUCCCCUGCCCCAUGUUCCCUUCCCCAUAUCCCCCGCCAGUGUCCUCUUCCCCACGUACCCUUCCCCGUGUCUCCUGUCCUAUAUCUCCAGCCCCCUCCCCCAUGUGUCUUGCCCCAUAUCCUCUUCCCUUUCUCCAGCCCCACAUCUCCUGCCCCAUGUCCCCUUCCCUAUGUCUCUAGCCCCAAGUCCCCAGCCUCAUAUCCCCUCUUCUAUGGCUCCAGCCCCACUUCCUUGCCCCCAUAUCCCUUUCCCUAUGUCCCCUGCCCUACAACCCCAUCCUUAUAUCCCC